AACGAACGCUGGCGGCAGGCUUAACACAUGCAAGUCGAGCGCCCCGCCCGGGGAGCGGCAGACGGGUGAGUAACGCGUGGGAACGUACCUUUUGGUUCGGAACAACUCCGGGAAACUGGAGCUAAUACCGGAUAAGCCCUAACGGGGAAAGAUUUAUCGCCGAAAGAUCGGCCCGCGUCUGAUUAGCUAGUUGGUGAGGUAACGGCUCACCAAGGCGACGAUCAGUAGCUGGUCUGAGAGGAUGAUCAGCCACACUGGGACUGAGACACGGCCCAGACUCCUACGGGGGGCAGCAGUGGGGAAUAUUGGACAAUGGGCGCAAGCCUAGUCCAGCCAUGCCGCGUGAGUGAUGAAGGCCUUAGUGUUGUAAAGCUCUUUUGUCCGGGAAGAUAAUGACGGUACCGGAAGAAUAAGCCCCGGCUAACUUCGUG
rnacentral:rRNA from 1 species